rnacentral:rRNA from 1 species
GACGAACGCUGGCGGCGUGCUUAACACAUGCAAGUCGAACGAAGAGCGAUGGAAGCUUGCUUCUAUCAAUCUUAGUGGCGAACGGGUGAGUAACGCGUAAUCAACCUGCCCUUCAGAGGGGGACAACAGUUGGAAACGACUGCUAAUACCGCAUACGAUCUAAUCUCGGCAUCGAGGAUAGAUGAAAGGUGGCCUCUACAUGUAAGCUAUCACUGAAGGAGGGGAUUGCGUCUGAUUAGCUAGUUGGAGGGGUAACGGCCCACCAAGGCGAUGAUCAGUAGCCGGUCGGAGAGGAUGGAGGCCCAAAGUGGGAUGGGGACCGGGCCCAGACUCGCAGGGGGGGCAGCGGGGGGGAAUUUCCCGCAAGGGCGGGAAGGCGGACGGGACACCGCCGGGGGGGGGAUAGCGGCGUUGGGGUUGUAAAGGUUUGUAAAGCGGGGGGAAAGGCCUUCUUGCAAAUAGUGAGAGGGUUUGAGGGUACCGAAAUAAAAAGCCCGGGCUAACUCGGGG